GACGAACGCUGGCGGCGUGCUUAACACAUGCAAGUCGAACGGAAAGGCCCUGCUUUUGUGGGGUGCUCGAGUGGCGAACGGGUGAGUAACACGUGAGUAACCUGCCCUUGACUUUGGGAUAACUUCAGGAAACUGGGGCUAAUACCGGAUAGGAGCUCCUGCUGCAUGGUGGGGGUUGGAAAGUUUCGGCGGUUGGGGAUGGACUCGCGGCUUAUCAGCUUGUUGGUGGGGUAGUGGCUUACCAAGGCUUUGACGGGUAGCCGGCCUGAGAGGGUGACCGGCCACAUUGGGACUGAGAUACGGCCCAGACUCCUACGGGAGGCAGCAGUGGGGAAUAUUGCACAAUGGGCGGAAGCCUGAUGCAGCAACGCCGCGUGCAGGAUGACGGCCUUCGGGUUGUAAACCGCUUUCGCCUGUGACGAAGCGUGAGUGACGGUAAUGGGUAAAGAAGCACCGGCUAACUACGU
rnacentral:rRNA from 1 species